rnacentral:rRNA from 1 species
UACGGAGGAUCCGAGCGUUAUCCGGAUUUAUUGGGUUUAAAGGGUGCGUAGGCGGCCUGUUAAGUCAGGGGUGAAAGACGGUAGCUCAACUAUCGCAGUGCCCUUGAUACUGAUGGGCUUGAAUGUACUAGAGGUAGGCGGAAUGUGACAAGUAGCGGUGAAAUGCAUAGAUAUGUCACAGAACACCAAUUGCGAAGGCAGCUUACUAUGGUAUUAUUGACGCUGAGGCACGAAAGCGUGGGGAUCGAACAGG